AACAGGAAUGACAGAAUUCUGCAAGAUUGAGAUUGUGCUUUGUUAACUCAAUUUCUCCAGAAAUCAUUCAGAAGGCAGGAUCACAGGAUUGAUGUAAAAUCUUUUUCUGAUGAAAGUUUGAACACAUGCUGGUGAUCCAAUCACAUAGACGUCCAAAUGAAUGUGUCUUCGGCUAGGAUCAGGUUUGUCAAUUCGUCAGGAGUCUAGGACACUUUCACCAAAGAGUAGACCUGAUGAAUGGAAAGGGUCUCAUAAACAAAUGCCACACCAACACAUGUGAGGGCCCUUCUAUUUCUCCUCUGCAAAAGUACAUCUAUAAGAAGCACUUCUUAACCCCUUCGAAUGUAGCUUGAAUUUUGUUGAAGAAACAACCUAGAUAUAAACUGGGCAUGCAGCUUAGGGCAGGGGAAAGGAGAUGAUCAGGAGGGACCCCUGAACUACAGUGGAUCUACAUGAGAGUCCAUAGAUGUCAGUGGGCUGCAUCACUCUUCCAUUGAGCUUUCCUCUCCUCCCAUUCAUAACAAUAAAGGCAACAUGAACAAUGCGAAAGCUUCAUUAACUCCUUAGCUAGUCAUUAUUUACAAAAUAUCAAAAGUUGAUGGGGUUUCUAUAUCAAGCUGGGCUAGCCUUACAUCGGACAGCGAGAGGGGAAACAUUCGUGGACCUCAGCAGCGAACAUUUCCCUGCAAACCAAAAAAUAGCAAGAAGUUUAUCACUCCUUUGUUAUAUUUAUGCCAGGAAAAAAAAAAGGACAAGGUUCCCCUGUUUUCAGUGCAAGAAGCGCACUAGUUCCCCUGGGAUAUCCCCAUCUGCAGUUACUUAAUCAUCGCAAUGUAAGGGAGCUUAAGUGAAUAUCUCUACUUUCUGAUGGCUCACUGAGAUGCUACAUACUUGGUGGAAGUUUCAGAUACAGGUCAAAUAUCGUGCUCCAAGCCACCUAUUGAUGACCUGGCUACAAUUUUGUCCCUUCCAACGAAGACCAUUCUAUGAACGGAUUCGGCCAAACUUCCAUCCAAUACAACAGCUUGUAUUAGAGAAGGCAGACCUGGUACCUCUCAUCCCUUUGAUCUUCAAGUAUUUGAAGGGGGAUACAAGUGGAAGUAAAGGUUUUCUCUGCAAUUGAGGGUCUGUGGUCCAUUCAUGGAUGGGGCUCACUUGAUUGUAUGGUUAAAUGAUCAAGAUCACCACAGUGCUACCCUACCGUCGUUGGUGAUUCUACAGAAGAUGGAGAAUUUGAGCUACCUGAUUUUAGCUGCAUAGUCAGACUAUGAAGACUAGCAUCUGCUGGCACCUAUGUUUGUGGUUGAUUGUACAAAAAACAUGCGGAUAGUAGAAUCCAAGCUAUUUGUAGCUCUAUCCUUGGGUUGAGUUAGAAGGCCAAUGUAUAAUGAAUAUUUGAGUGUUGGAAGAAAGGUUGUAUUUAUUUUAGAAUGUAUGUAAAAUGGAUCAGUAGCCUAACUGCUAUGCUGUUUUUACUGUGCUAUAUUGUAAGGAAUUGAUCAGCCAUUGUUUUUA